CGGGGCGUAGCGCAGUCUGGCUAGCGCGCCUGCCUUGGGAGCAGGAGGUCGUGGGUUCAAAUCCCGCCGCCCCGACUA
rnacentral:tRNA from 2 species